GGCCUAAUGGUGAUGGUUUCCAUGCAUCGCCGAUGAUUGUUGAAUUGUGAAUGGGCAGGACCCAUACUGCACAUGUGCACCCUGGGUCCUGCAUCGUGUGAUGCAGUGUGGAUACAGACAUCAGCUACACAACGGGGGUAAGGUGCAAUCAGGGAGAUUGCUGAAUUAUUUCAACGAGUCAGCGGAAACCAACAUCGAGAGGACGUGGACAGCCAUCCCUGCACUGAGGUUGAGGAAUCCUGCGCUCACUGGUUUUAUAUGUCCCGCAUCUGUGAAACCCAUUUGUUCAAUCCAGGUUUUUACUUUUUCAUCCAAG